rnacentral:rRNA from 1 species
GAUUGUCCGAGUUGUAAUCUAUAGAGGCGUUUUCCGUGCCGGACCGUGUCCAAGUCUCCUGGAAAGGAGUAUCAAAGAGGGUGAUAAUCCCGUACUUAACACGACCACCGGUGCUCUGUGAUACGUCUUCUACGAGUCGAGUUGUUUGGGAAUGCAGCUCAAAAUGGGUGGUGAAUUCCAUCUAAAGCUAAAUAUUGGCGAGAGACCGAUAGCGAACAAGUACCGUGAGGGAAAGAUGAAAAGCACUUUGGAAAGAGAGUUAAACAGUACGUGAAAUUGUUGAAAGGGAAACGAUUGAAGUCAGUCGUGUUCUUUGGAUUCAGCCAGUUCUGCUGGUCUACUUCCUUGGAACGGGUCAACAUCAGUUUUGUCCGGUGGAUAAAGGUAGUAGGAAUGUGACUUCUCCGGAAGUGUUAUAGCCUAUUAUCACAUACACUGGGUGAGACUGAGGACUGCAGCUCGCCUUUAUGGCCGGCCUUCGGGCACGUUCGAGCUUAGGAUGUUGACAUAAUGGCUUUAAACGAC